AGCGCAGGCGGAUUGAUAAGUCAGUGGUGAAAUACCUGAGCUUAACUCGGGAACUGCCAUUGAUACUAUUGGUCUUGAAUAUUGUUGAGGUAUGCGGAAUGGGUCAUGUAGCGGUGAAAUGCAUAGAUAUGACCCGGAACACCAAUUGCGAAGGCAGCAUGCUAAACAAAGAUUGACGCUGAGGCUCGAAAGCGUGGGGAUCAAACA
rnacentral:rRNA from 1 species